AGAGUUUGAUCCUGGCUCAGGACGAACGCUGGCGGCGUGCUUAACACAUGCAAGUCGAACGAUGAAGCCCAGCUUGCUGGGUGGAUUAGUGGCGAACGGGUGAGUAACACGUGAGUAACCUGCCCUUGACUCUGGGAUAAGCGUUGGAAACGACGUCUAAUACCGGAUACGAGCUUCCACCGCAUGGUGAGUUGCUGGAAAGAAUUUUGGUCAAGGAUGGACUCGCGGCCUAUCAGCUUGUUGGUGAGGUAACGGCUCACCAAGGCGACGACGGGUAGCCGGCCUGAGAGGGUGACCGGCCACACUGGGACUGAGACACGGCCCAGACUCCUACGGGAGGCAGCAGUGGGGAAUAUUGCACAAUGGGCGAAAGCCUGAUGCAGCAACGCCGCGUGAGGGACGACGGCCUUCGGGUUGUAAACCUCUUUUAGCAGGGAAGAAGCGAAAGUGACGGUACCUGCAGAAAAAGCACCGGCUAACUACGUGCCAGCAGCCGCGGUAAUAC
rnacentral:rRNA from 1 species